rnacentral:rRNA from 1 species
AUUGAACGCUGGCGGCAGGCCUAACACAUGCAAGUCGGACGGUAGCACAGAGGAGCUUGCUCCUCGGGUGACGAGUGGCGGACGGGUGAGUAAUAUCUGGGGAUCUGCCCGAUAGAGGGGGAUAACCACUGGAAACGGUGGCUAAUACCGCAUAACGUCGCAAGACCAAAGAGGGGGACCUUCGGGCCUCUCACUAUCGGAUGAACCCAGAUGGGAUUAGCUAGUAGGCGGGGUAAUGGCCCACCUAGGCGACGAUCCCUAGCUGGUCUGAGAGGAUGACCAGCCACACUGGAACUGAGACACGGUCCAGACUCCUACGGGAGGCAGCAGUGGGGAAUAUUGCACAAUGGGCGCAAGCCUGAUGCAGCCAUGCCGCGUGUAUGAAGAAGGCCUUCGGGUUGUAAAGUACUUUCAGCGGGGAGGAAGGCGGCGCGGUUAAUAACCGCGCCGAUUGACGUUACCCGCAGAAGAAGCACCGGCUAACUCCGUGCCAGCCGCCGCAGUAACAC